CGCGCAGGCGGUGAAUGAAGUCGAAAGUGAAAGCCCCGGGCUCAACUCGGGAACUGCUUUCGAAACCAGUUCACUUGAAGGCGGAAGAGGGAAGUGGAAUUCCGAGUGUAGUGGUGGAAUGCGUAGAUAUUCGGAAGAACACCAGAGGCGAAGGCGACUUCCUGGUCCGAUCUUGACGCUGAGGCGCGAAAGCUAGGGGAGCAAACG
rnacentral:rRNA from 1 species